AGCUAUAUGACUGUUGUUCAGACUAAUUGAUGAUAUUAACUGUUUUCUUGAGCAACAAUGAACAGAUUUUAACAGAAGUUCCUAUAACACCGGAAACAACCUGUCGAGAUGUUGUAGAAUUUUGCAAGGAACCUGGAGAAGGCAGCUGCCAUUUAGCUGAAGUGUGGAGGGGAAAUGGUGGCCGUCAGACCCAAGAGCAACGAACUCAGAGAAAUGUAAUAAAUGUACCUGGAGAAAAACGUACUGAAAAUGGGGAUUUUUAGAUAAACAGAAUGGUGGUUCCAGUUAAGACUGUUAAAUCCAGCCGGGCGCGGUGGCUCAUGCCUGUAAUCCCAGCACUUUGGGAGGCCAAGGCAGGCAGAUCACGAGGUUGGGAAUCCACGUGUUGAACUUACCCUCUCAGAGCUCCAAGAUAUGGCAGCUAGGCAACAGCAGCAGAUUGAAAAUCAGCAGCAGAUGUUGGUUGCCAAGGAACAGCGUUUACAUUUUCUAAAGCAACAGGAGCGCCGUCAGCAGCAGUCUAUUUCUGAAAAUGAAAAGCUUCAGAAAUU
rnacentral:lncRNA from 1 species